CCAACUCUGAGAUGAUCGCGAUGUGGGUUAGUCCCCUGAGCCGAUAAUCUUAUCUUAAGAACGGAGUGAUUUUUAAUUGGUGAGUAUGCCUUACUUGUAAGGAAACCUAAAAAUUAAAACACGAUGUUCACCUUGAACCGUGGGUUCAAGGGUUACGACCCUAACGACAUCUUGGAGCUUCC
rfam:Gilliamella sp. R-53248 genome assembly, contig: Ga0061081_101